UAAAGACUAAGCCAUGCAUGUAUCAGUACAAGCCUAACUAAGGUGAAACCGCGAAUGGCUCAUUAAAUCAGUUAUGAUUUACUGGCCGAGACAGUGAUACAUGGAUAACUGUGGUAAUUCUAGAGCUAAUACAUGCAACCGAGCCCCAGUCCGGCGCCUCGGCGACGGCGGGGCGCUUUUAUUGGCUGAAAACCGAUGGCUGCCCUCGCGGGCGGUCGUUAUUCGAUGAGUCACAAUAACAUUGUGUGGAUCGUAGGGUCCUGUACCGACGACGCGCCUUUCAAAUAUCUGCCUUAUCAGCUCUCGACGGUUGGCUAGUGGCUGACCGUGGCACUGACGGGUAACGGGGAAUCUGGGUUCGAUUCCGGAGAGGGAGCCUGAGAGAUGGCUACCACAUCUAAGGAAGGCAGCAGGCGCGUAACUUACCCACUCCCAGUUCAGGGAGGUAGUGACAAUAAAUACCUUACAGAGGUCUCGUUAACCGAGAUCUCUCAAACGGAAUGAGUACAACGUGAAUCCUUUAACGAGGAUCGACUGGAGGGCAAGCCUGGUGCCAGCAGCCGCGGUAAUUCCAGCUCCAGUAGCGUAUAUUAAAGCUGUUGCGGUUAAAAAGCUCGUAGUUGGAUAUCAGUGCGUUUCGGUUCGGCAUGCCCGGUGCGUUAUGGCGUCCGCGCGAUGACGCCCGGGCUCCCAAAUGUCGGCCCAGCGCAUUCAAUGGCGUCGGACACAGCAGCCGCCUUUCGGGGGGGCCAGCUGGCGACUGGCGGUGUUACCUUGAACAAAUUAGAGUGCUCAAAGCAGGCUCGCAAUGCCUGUAUACAUAUUCAUGGAAUUGGAGAAUACGUCCCUGGCUCGAUUUGGUUGGUUUUGAGAGUCGAAAGGAAAUGAUUAAUAGGG
rnacentral:rRNA from 1 species